rnacentral:lncRNA from 12 species
AUGAUGUGUGCUUGCUCUUGUCUUGUCUUUGCACUCAAGGCAGAAGAUGCAGUGAAGGACCUAAGGUACAGCCUGGAACAUAGGUGCCGGGACUCUCGGGAGGCCGGCGACGGCCCGCGCCACAGGUGGCAUCCGGGGCGGGGCCUGCGCGCCGUCGGGCGGCGGGGGCGUGGCCUGGGCUCCGCGGCGGGGGCCUGGCCCCUCCCCAGAUGCCUCCGCGCGCCCGCCGCCCUCCAGCGCGCCAGGCUUCCCGAGCGCCCAGUGCGCAGGCGCCGGCGGGGGGCUCCGAGCGUGCGCCGAGAUGGAGCGCGGUCGGAGCGCGCGGCGGCGGUUGCCCCGCGGACUGACGGGAGGUCGGGCCGCCCGCCGUGUCGCCCUGCGCCUGCUGAACUCCGAGCGCCCGAGGAUGUCAGCGCUGAGGAAGGUCUGUAUGAGCUGUUGGCUCUUGUGCCAGGCCAGCUGGGGCCACGUGUGGACAGCCAGGAAGACCUGACCUUCCUCUGGGAUAUGUUUGGUGAGAAAAUCCUGCAUUCACUGGUAAAGUGGUUUCAGUGACAGGUCAAUCAGAUAGAAGAGGUAAGUAUAACAUUUCUUAAUUGUGAAUUAAAUUGAUAUUUUGUCUCACUUGGAAAUCAAUUUGAAGUGAAAAGUGUUUGAAUAAUCAUUGUUUGCAAUCUUUUAAUUUAGUUAGAGAAGGAAAAAAAAUGGGUAGGACAAAAUGUUUCCCAGGGAUUACACACUGCAUUCAUGCAUGUGUCUGGAAUGCUCUGAGUCUGACACAUUCUUUCUCCUAAAAUUAAAUAAUGGAAAUUUUAAUUAUCCUUCUAUCCUAUCUGACAUAAAAGUAAGUGACAAGAGAAAACUUGUCAACUUAAACAUUUCUCCUAUAUUUAAAAAAGCAUAUAUAAUAUGAUAAUAUAUUUACUUAUAAAAUUAUAUAUUGAUUUUCUUUAAAUUUAAUGUUAUUUUUUUAGAUUUUAUUUAUUUAUUCAUAGACACACAGAGAGAGAGGCAGAGACAGGAAGAGGGAGAAGCAGGCUCCAUGCAGGGAGCCUGACAUGGGACUCGAUCCCGGGUCUCCAGGAUCACACCCCAGGCUGCAGGCGGCGCCAAACCGCUGCGCCACCGGGGUUGCCCUAGUGUUAUUUUAAUAAUAUUUUUGUACUUUAGAUUUUUCAGAGGUCUUUUGGUCAUUUUGAAAACUGGUGAUCUCUAACGUUAAGGGUUUUUAAUUCUAUUUUGGGUAAGACUUUAUGCUAUUAACAUAGCAGGAUGAUUUCUAGAGUAGCAUCAUUGAUUUGUAAAAUCAUUGUGAUUCUCCAUUGGUUAUGCUUAUGGUUUAGUCCAAUUAAACGCUCUUGAAUCCCAGGCACUUUAAAUUAAAUAAGUUCAUUUAUUUGGGAUAUAAAAUUAAAAAAUAAAGAUAGAAAUUGUAACUGUCUGCUAACA